rnacentral:rRNA from 1 species
GACGAACGCUGGCGGCGUGCUUAACACAUGCAAGUCGAACGGAAAGGCCCUGCUUUUGUGGGGUGCUCGAGUGGCGCACGGGUGAGUAACACGUGAGUAACCUGCCCUUGACUUUGGGAUAACUUCAGGAAACUGGGGCUAAUACCGGAUAGGAGCUCCUGCUGCAUGGUGGGGGUUGGAAAGUUUCGGCGGUUGGGGAUGGACUCGCGGCUUAUCAGCUUGUUGGUGGGGUAGUGGCUUACCAAGGCUUUGACGGGUAGCCGGCCUGAGAGGGUGACCGGCCACAUUGGGACUGAGAUACGGCCCAGACUCCUACGGGAGGCAGCAGGGGGGAAUAUUGCACAAUGGGCGGGAGCCUGAUGCAGCAACGCCGCGUGCGGGAUGACGGCCUUCGGGUUGUAAACCGCUUUCGCCUGUGACGAAGCGUGAGUGACGGUAAUGGGUAAAGAAGCACCGGCUAACUACGUG